rnacentral:lncRNA from 1 species
CUGCCUACGCCUGUCAUUUGGGAGCAGUUCCUAGCAGCCUUUCAUGUUGAGUACCUCCCCGAGCACAUCCGACAUUUAAAGGAGACGAAGUUUUUCAGCUGGUCCAGCAAAACAUGACAGUGUCGGAGUAUGCUCGUAAGUUCCUAGAGCUAGGCUGAUACUCCCCUAAGACAUUGAUGGAUGAAGGCAGAAAGGCCAGGAGGUUCCAGUGGGGCCUCCGCCCAGAGAUCAAACGGCACUUGUUGGUACUAGAGCUUAAGACAUAUUCAGU